rnacentral:ncRNA from 2 species
CUGAAGCCGUUGGAGAUAGGCCGAAGGAGAGAAAUCCGCUCGGCUGAACAGGGAAGUCGGUGAGAGGCCGACGCGGACCCGCCACGGUAUGUGACUGAAUGCUCUGCCAACGAGCCACUGGGUGAAAACCUGGGAAGGCGGCAGGGCCUAGGGUUACGAGCCCGGAGACCUACCCAUCGUGAGCCAACUCG